UACGGGGGGGGCAAGCGUUGUUCGGAAUUACUGGGCGUAGAGGGCUCGUAGGUGGCCAACUAAGUCGGACGUGAAAUCCCUCGGCUUAACCGGGGAACUGCGUCUGAUACUGGAUGGCUUGAGUUCGGGAGAGGGAUGCGGAAUUCCAGGUGUAGCGGUGAAAUGCGUAGAUAUCUGGAGGAACACCGGUGGCGAAGGCGGCAUCCUGGACCGGCAUUGACGCUGAGGCGCGAAAGCUAGGGGAGCAAACGGG
rnacentral:rRNA from 1 species